rnacentral:tRNA from 1 species
GCCACCGUAGCUCAGUGGUAGAACAUCGGACGCGCUAUUCGAAGGUCGCAGGUUCGAAUCCUGCCGGUGGAA